ensembl:snRNA U6 U6 spliceosomal RNA
GUGCUUGCUUCGGCAGCAUACAUACUGAAAUUGAAAUAAUCCUGAGAAGAUCAGCAUGGCCCAGCACAAGGAAGACAUGCAAAUUCAUGAAGCGUUCCAUAUUUUU